ACGUAGGGGGCCAGCGUUGCUCGGAAUUACUGGGCGUAAAGGGUCCGUAGGCGGUGCGGCGAGUCGAUAGUGAAAUCUCUGGGCUUAACUCAGAGGCUGCUAACGAAACUGCCGUGCUAGAGUGUGAGAGAGGCGAGUGGAAUUACGGGUGUAGCGGUGAAAUGCGUAGAUAUCAAGAGGAACACCUGCGGCGAAGGCGGGUUGCUGGGCCGACACUGACGCUGAUGCGCGAAAGCCAGGGGAGCGAACGGGA
rnacentral:rRNA from 1 species